AAAAACAACUCUCAGCAACGGAUAUCUUGGCUCUUACACACCCCCAAAAACCACAC
rnacentral:rRNA from 1 species